rnacentral:lncRNA from 1 species
AACAAAGAUGCUUUACAUAAAAAGUCAGGAUAAUGGUCGCCUCUGAUAGGGAGGGAGGGUAGAGGUGGACGGGGGAAUGAAGAGUACGUCCAGGGUGAGGGAGGGCAGAGUUCUAGUUCUCGAUCAGGCUGAUAAUGACACUGGUGUUGACUUUGUGAUAAAUCACUGAACUGUAUAUCUUUGGUUUUGGGGGGUUUUUUUUGGUUCUUUUUUGUUUUUCUUUUUUGUUGAGACAGAGUUUCACUCUUAUUGCCCAGGCUGGAGUGCAAUGCGUGAUCUCGCCUCACUGCAACCUCUGUCUCCCAGGUUCAAGUGAUUCUCCUGCCUCGGCCUCCUUUUUCUCAAUUCUGCAGGAAACCAGAAGUGUGAACCAAACACAGUAACUCUAGGUGUUAUGGCGCUGUCCUGCUCACCCUUCUUUUGGCCUACUGGCUUCAAAGCUGCUCAGCAAAUUCCUUGAUUUGAAAUUACGAUCACAGGUUGGAGUGCUACUUAAAAUAAUUUUGCCAAAUGUUCCAUCUCUCUGUGUUGAUGAAUAUAAUGGAUGACAAUUUAAAGAGCAAAAAAAAAAUCUCUGCAUUUAAUGAGGAAGUGCUGUCAGCAGAAAGGAGAGGAAGCUUCACCCCGACCAUCCGCAGGACCCACAUCCCUCUCAGCGGGAAGGCAGAAUCAUUCAUCUAUUGCUCUCCUUGAAGGGCAGCUCCAGACACUCACGUGGACACAAGUAGGAAAAGCACAGAGUGUGUCAUCACACUGUGUACCUCAUACAGGUGACGUCCUGGAGAAACCUCUGGAAAAACAGAAAUUUUAUGACCCACAAUUAAAAUGAUUUAAGUAAUAAAUAACCCUGAUAGCUUGCCCCACCAAGUGUAUGCUAUGUUCCACACCCCAGGCCCCUCCACAUCCAUCUCCUUGCCGAGCCCUCUAACAACCUUACAAGGGAGAGACUUUUUACCCUCACUUCCCAGAGGAGGACACUGAGGCCAAAGAAGGGAAGGGAUUCCCCAGGUGACACCGUAAGUGACAGAGUCAAGACCCACAUGGCCUGGCUGAAGUCAAGGUCACCCUAAUUCCUCACACAGCCCCACCAGAGGUUCCCACAGUGCUGUGUGCCAGCCAGGUGAUAAGGCCUUUCCACAAAGGACAUCAAAAUACCUCAACAGGCUGGACGCGGUGGCUCACAUCUGUAAUCCCGACACUUUGGGAGGCCGAAGCAGGCGGAUCACCUGAGGUCAGGAGUUCAAGGCCAGCCUGGCCAACAUGGCAAAACCCCAUCUCUACUAAAAAUACAAAAAAUUAGCCAGGCAUGGUGGUGGAUGCCUGUAAUCCCAGCUACUCGGGAGGCUGAGGCAGGAGAAUCGCUUGAACCCGGGAGGCAGAGGUUGCAGUGAGCCAAGAUCGUGCCAUUACACUCCAGCCUGGGUGACAGAACGAGACUCCAUCUCAAAAAAAAAACAAAAAAAACCUCAUCAUCAGUAGAGAACUGUCACCUUCCUAAACGAGGAAACUGACACUUUUAAAAGCAAACAGAUUUCUGAACUUGGGGUUAAUGAUAAAACUGGAAAAACAUAAAAGACUCCCUGUUCCUCUCCUCCAUUAUCAAUAUGUGCCUUAGAUUUGGAUGCCAAGUCAAAUCUCACCAGAACUAUAUCCUCCAUGGUAACUUAUUAAAGAGUCAAUCAAAGUUUGCUUUAAGAGAAAAGUAAAUACACCCAACUUUCCAUACAAUGCCGGACCCCGAGUUCACUUCCUGGUUUCACUGUUGACUCAGGUUGCAAUCCUAGAUAAGUAACUACACAUGCUCACUGCCCUGGGCCCAAAGCUGGGGCGAGAGCCUGGAAUCAGCGCACCCCCAAGAAUUCCGGAACAUGGGAAGAUGCCCAUCUUUCAUGGAGGGGGCAUGCCUCGAAGAGGAAAAUCAGGCAAAAGGCCGUGUGCAAAGCUCCACGUGCAGGUGCAAGCUGCUUGUCCCUGAGUCUCUGAUUGCGAGGAAAGGGGUCACCCGCUGGUCGCACCACCAACAAAGCCCUGCCAUCCUUUGGCUCUGCGCUCACCCAUAAUUACUGGGCGUGAGGUGGGAAGGGCCGCCCUUUGGGACUCAGGUGGUGGGGAGGCUGCAGAACAGAGUCGGCAAGUCAACUCCAAUCACAGUAAGCAUUUUCAAAGAAACACAUAAAAAUAGCCAGAAGUGGGUCAGCACUUCCAGUGAGGUUAGAGACAGGAAAUUGGGACAGACUCCCG